rnacentral:lncRNA from 1 species
AGUUUCGAAGGAAGACAAUUCAAGUUCAGCAAUCAGGCGCCCACCUAGAGAAUAAGGGAAAACGCUUCAAGUUUCGAAGGAAGACAGUUCAAGUUUUGGCAAUCAGACACCCACCUGAAAAAUAAGGGAAUUCACUUUAGAAUGAAAUUCAAGUCAGCAACAAAAGAAGCUCGUGGCAAUAAUGCGAGUCAACAGUCAGAGAUGAUUAACGGAAGUUAGUCACAAUCCAGAAUAAAAAAAAAGAAAGGCAAGAAGUGAAUCCAAAUGCAGAAGUUGAUGAAAGAUGUGAGCUGCUCAAGACAUGACUGAAGUCACAAGCAUGGUAUGCCCGGUAUUGAUCCGAAAAGAUGAAGAAGAAUGAACUAGCACCUGCAACUAGCAAGCGUCAAGGUUCAAAUCCAAAAUCCGCAUGAAUAACCAUUCAAGACUCAAGAUCAAGCUUCAGGAAACUUAUAGAUAGGAAUUUUGUAACUCAUAGUUGACAUGAUUAGUUAAUCUUUUUCAUUUUUUGAUUUUUGAUGUAAUAAUAGGACCGCAGACCAGAACCUCGAUGGAAUGACACCUCGAUCGGCUCUCCACCUCGGUAUACUCCAUCAUCUCACUUACUUCUGAACUACACGUGGCCUGAUUCCUUUAUAGCCAAGGAUAUGUAGGCAGCUCAGAUACCAGGGCUCGGUCACAUUCUCCUUCCUCUCAGUUUUUGGUCUCCCUAAAUAAGGGUCGGGUCAAAAAACCUGUCUAGUUGUUCUUUGUCUAAAAAUACUUCGUGUUUCCAGUCAAAGAGGGGCAGCUGUAGACAUGUGAUUUUUGACCCUCCCCAAGAUUUUUCAUAUUUUAGCAUGUAAAUAUUUAAUUUAUGCCUAAUAUCGAUAUCUCAACUAAUUUUGACUCUUUUACUUUAUUUUAUUACAAGAAAAUGAAAAUUACAAAAAAAAAAUAGUUUCAUUAAUGCUUUGUAGUCAUUUUUAAUCUUGAAAAAUACCAAAAAUAGUUUUGUUUUAACAGUCAGUCUUAUUUUAAUAGUUAUUUUACUUACGUUGAAUUAAUUAAUAAAUGAGAUCGUACUUUUAAUCUCGUUCGUGGGGAAAUAAUAAAAUUUGGGCUCAAACGACCCAUUUUUAGGCCUAAUUUUCGGAUCUAGCCCAUAAUUCCCAAGCCCAUAAUUCCUAGGCCCAUACCCCUUAACCUAAAUAUAGAACUAAAACCCUAAGCCUAUAAAAAAGAUCUAAAAAAAAUAAGAAACAAAUCAGCCGCAAACCUAAAGUCCAUAAGUGAAAAUACAAAAAAAAGCCUAAGACUCUCAAGACCAAAAUCAGACUUAGGGGCAAAUGAGAUCAGCGCCGUUUUUACAAGACCCCUAAAACCUAUACACACAGGAGAAUUAGCGCCGUUUGAACAAAAAGAGACGACCAACCCCCCAUCACCACCUUUCUUCGAUCUUGAGAACAAAAAAAUCCCUCACCCUUCCACCGUCAAACACACCUAGAACUCCUCCAUAAUAGCUCCAACCUAACAAUGGUACAGACACAAUUAGCGACCUUCGCUGACUCCCCCCCCCCUCCCCUUUUUCGUCGCCUGAGACAACAACAAAAACAGAUCUAAGAAGGAUGGACGAAGGAGACGAGUACAACGACAACGUAUAAGGAGAUUCGAAGUUUGAUUUCGGAUUCAAAGCCUACUGAUUUUCGUUCCAUAGUUUCUCUCGCUUUUCUGCUUUCGAUUCUAAAAGCCAUGGAAUCCGAUGGAGCUUUGAUUGAGGCUUGAUACGCCGUUGAUUUGAGGGUUGUCGUUUGUGGUGGAAGUUCGUGGUUUCUGCUGGUUUUUAGCCGCUGAUUUCGCUCGAAUUUAGAGUCGAAACUUGGUACUCGACAAUUCUUCUACCAAUAUUAAGGAAGUCUUUGUUUAAACAGGUUCUUCUCAUCAUUAAUUCAUCUUCUUCCAUUUUCAGGUUGUGAAUAUAGGUACCCAAGAGCUAGGUUAAGAUGAGUUUUCUUUUACAUGUGUUUAUGUGGUGAUAUAAUUGUUAUGGUGCAUUUAUGAGUUAAUUUCCAGUCGUUUGAUUUUUCCGAAUCUGAUUUCCCUCGGUUUAAUUAGCUUCUUGUAUUCUAUCACUGUUGGUAUAAUACAAUGUAAAAAUGUUAAGGGAAGAUGUUGAGUCAACAGUCAACAACACAUCUGAUUCUUCUUGGCUUAAGUAAACUUCGAUAAUGUUGAGUCACGAACCAUAGAAAUUUGUUAUAAGUCGUUCACUAACUUAUUGAAAAACAUAGAGUGCAAUUGAUCUUUUCUUGAAGGAUAAACUUGUUUUUUUAGUUAUGAUGGCAUACGUUUACAUGAUCUUUAAGAUUUCCAAGGAGUAAUAGAACAUCCCAAUGUCCAAAAUCACGAAAGCCCGUAUGAGAAUAACCUUGAAUUUAGUAGUUCGUUUUAGGCACAUAAUUAAAUCAUCACAACUGCGGGUAUGGUUCCCAUGGCGUAGUCGUAGCACUUAAUUUCAAAUUAGUUAAUUGCUUUUCCUUUAAUAAAAUUGAGGUGUGCUAUCCAAUCACUUAGUCUAUGGCCAUCACAUCGAUAUCUUAAUUAGUGUAGAAAAUGCCUUGAACUCUCGUAGUUUGCUUUAUGCGUGUUUAAUUAUAUAAAUUGUCAUAGCUACGAGUACGAUUCCCGUGACGUAGUUGUGAUGCUUUAAUUUCUAAAAUCCGGGGGUACAUUUAUGUGACCCGGCCACAAUUCAAUCUUGUUUAUAAAAUAAACAUGUUGUGGAUCGUGGGUAUGGUUCCCGUGACACGAUUCGUGACGUGUAACUAAAUAAUUAGUUGUAUAACAAUUGGAUUAUUAAAAUCGGGUAAAAAGGAAUAAAAUGUACAUAGGUUUCNNNNNNNNNNNNNNNNNNNNNNNNNNNNNNNNNNNNNNNNNNNNNNNNNNNNNNNNNNNNNNNNNNNNNNNNNNNNNNNNNNNNNNNNNNNNNNNNNNNNNNNNNNNNNNNNNNNNNNNNNNNNNNNNNNNNNNNNNNNNNNNNNNNNNNNNNNNNNNNNNNNNNNNNNNNNNNNNNNNNNNNNNNNNNNNNNNNNNNNNNNNNNNNNNNNNNNNNNNNNNNNNNNNNNNNNNNNNNNNNNNNNNNNNNNNNNNNNNNNNNNNNNNNNNNNNNNNNNNNNNNNNNNNNNNNNNNNNNNNNNNNNNNNNNNNNNNNNNNNNNNNNNNNNNNNNNNNNNNNNNNNNNNNNNNNNNNNNNNNNNNNNNNNNNNNNNNNNNNNNNNNNNNNNNNNNNNNNNNNNNNNNNNNNNNNNNNNNNNNNNNNNNNNNNNNNNNNNNNNNNNNNNNNNNNNNNNNNNNNNNNNNNNNNNNNNNNNNNNNNNNNNNNNNNNNNNNNNNNNNNNNNNNNNNNNNNNNNNAACACCUUCUCUCGGGUUAACAAAAUUCCUUAUCCGGUUUUUUUGUUCGCGGACUGUAAAACAGAGUCAAUCUUUCCUCGAUUCGGGAUUUAAACCGGUGACUUGGGACACCAUAAAUUAUCCCUCUAAAUUUUAAAUAAAAUAAUCUCGUUUCGAUUGUCACUUAAAUUGGAAAGAACUCCCUUAUAUACCCUACCGGGGGUAGUAAAAAGGAGGUGUGACAUCAACUUGAUGCUCUACUCAGUGUUCAAAACUUUGAGAAUUGGGCAACCAAGACCCACAUCCAUGAGGUUGCAAAUGGCGGAUCGUACUAUGAAUAGACCAUUGGGUAUUAUUGAUGAUGUGUUGGUUCGUGUUGACAAGUUCAUCCUCCCGACGGACUUUGUUAUUCUUGAUUGCGAAGUAGACUAUAAGGUGCCUAUUAUUUUGGGUAGACUUUUCCUUGCUACAGAGAAGGGUCUUGCUGAUGUGAAAUCCGGUGAGCUCAUUUUUCGGGUGGGUGAUGAAAAGGCGGUCUUCCAUGUGUGCAAAUCUAUGAGGCAACCGAAUAACAAUGAUGUUUGUUCGUUCGUAGAUUUGGUGAUCGAUGUGAUUAUUGAUGAUGCUAGUGCCAUAAUGAAUGUUGAGGAUAAUUUGGAAGUUGUUUUGCUCAACCUUGAUGAUGAUAAGGACAAAGAAGGCUAUGUGGAGUAUGUGAAUGCAUAGCAAGGAAUAGGGUUGUACACUUAUGAGCCCCCAAGCUAUCUUUGGAUCUUGAAAAUAGGAAGACUCCUCCAACAAAGCUCUCAAUCGAGGAGCCUCCUACUAAUAAGUCGGUAUUUUACCAACUUAUCUCUUCUUAAUACUUAGGCUUUUGUAUGAUUUUGAUGAUAAACUAAGGCAUUUUAUGAGGUUUAUUGGCAUAUUUCAAGUAUCAUAUAAUUUGUAGAAGAUACGGAAGGGAACAAGUCAAAAUGUGUUAAAUUGGAAUAAAUGGACUGCUGUCAGUUAUUGCUCUAUGCGAUCGCGGAGUGUUAGAUGCGAUCGCAUAAGUCUAGAAUAAGGAAGCUAUGCGAACGCGAUUUAGUCCAUGUGAACGUGUAGAGUUAAAGUUGGCCAGCAUUGGUCAACUACACUAUGAUAACGCGCAGAAGCUGCUGACCACGAUCGCGGUUCUCUCUGUGCGAUCGCAUAGAACAUUUUCUGGGCAGUUCUGGGCGGAAAUGAAAUUUCACAUUUUUGAUCCCCAAAUGAUUUAAUACACGACUUAGCUCAUUUGUAAAGGAUCUUUGGCUUAUUUUCAGUCCUUAGACUAGAGAAGAACAAGUUUUGGAAGCUAGGGUUCUUGCACACACACUUGGGUCUUGAAGAUUUGAAGCUUUUGGUUGAGAAUUGCUUACCCACUCAUGUUCAUUUCUUCAUUUUCUUGCUUUGUAUUAUUUAUCUGAGUGUGUACUAUGUUUUCCAACACUUGAAUCUUGUUUAUGAGAAUAUUUAUUUUUAAAGUAUGGAUUAAAUAGCUUGUUGUGCUUAUGUAUUGAACGAUUUUUAUCUUUUAUGAAGUGAGUUAUUAUUUCUUUAAUUAUUCUUGUUGUUUAAUGUUUCCAAAAGGAUUAGCUAACCCUAUGAAUCGCCCAUUAACUUCGAAUUAAUUUUGAGAAAGAUUAUUUGGGGUUGAGAAAGAUUAAUUAAUAAGAACUUGAGGCUUUAACCCUCAAUUUAUAGAUUCUACCAAGGGAUAGGAUUGAACUACUCGUAGCCAUAAUCAAGUGUGCUUAAUAUCCUAAUUGUUUUAGGGAUAAUUCAACUAGAAAGUCUUGUUAGUCUUUGGAAGAAGCUAAUAUAGAAUUAUUAUCCAAGGCUAAUUAACAUAAACUCACUCAUAUUUGUAAAACCGUGAAAUACAUUGGAUCGUUAUUUGAGUGUAAUUCCCCGUGUAUCCAUACUUAUAGCCAUUGAUCAUUUUACUUGCUUUCUAGGUUAGUUUACAUUUUUGCAUUUAGCUAUAAUAUUUUCACAAUCACCCUUUUUAGAGAUUGACAUUGCAUAACAAGUGAUAAUUUUCUUACACUCCUAAUCGUCUACAUAUUGUUCUCUGAGGGAUUCGACCCCGACUCAUAGUUGGGUAAAUUAUAUUGCAUGUGAUAGUGUCCAUUUACUUUUUAGUACUGGAUUUGGACGUUAUCAAAAUUGGCACCAUUACCGGGGAAUAAUUUGGCAUAUUUAGGUUGUUUGAGAAAUAAGCGUAAAUGCUUUGGUCCAAACUUGUGAAUAUUUUGUAUAAUUAUCUUUCUUAGCUUGGUCUAUUUUUCUUGUUUGUUUCUUGUUUAUUUUUUUAGUUUUUGAAAAAUGGCAUCAUAUAAUAAAAAUUGAUUGGAUGGUAGUUGUUCAUACUUCGAUGAUCCUUCUCCUUAUUGUGGAGGACCACACUCGUGGCAAAAUUGUUUAAAUUCUCCCAGGAUCGGAUUGUGCGCACAAUAUCAAACCCAUGAGUGGAGUAUUUGUGAUAAGUGUGGUGGUCAAAAUGGUUACUGGGAUAAUUGUGCUUAUUUAUCCUUCCCUUCCCCAAUCCCCUGCUAUGAUGAUUCUACUUUUUGUGAUGAAAUUUAUAGGGAUAUGGAGGUGGAAGAUAUUGAGCAUGGUCAAAAUAGAGAGUUCAAGCUCAUAUUAGAAUGCUUAAUUGAAUGAGUAAACACAGAGCAAAGUGCUUUGGGGGAGCUUUUGGAAAAUAGCCUCCAAAAUAAUUUGGCGCUUGAAAGGUUGCACUCACAAAUGGGAAAAAUGCUUGAAGCUUUAGAGCUCCAAAAAGCCUCGGAACAGAAUGAUAACCAAGAAUCUUCUUUAGAGGUUGAAGCCGAAAAUUCUUCUUUGGCACUUGACCAAAACCAAGAAGAACUCUCAAAUGCUCAAAAUGAGAAGAUGAUGCUCAUGUUGGAGGCCAUUCUUGAAAAUGAGGAGAAGCACAACUUUGCACUCGAGGACUUGAAGCAAGUCUUGACUCAAAAUGAUGAGGAUAUCCGGACUUUGGAAGGUCAAAUAAAAAUAUUGGUUGAGGCUCACUAUGCCCACCAACUUGAGAGUGUGGAAAGAAGUUAAGAAAUGUCCGAUUUCGAGGAAGAAAGUGAGCUUUAUUUUGAGGAAUCAAGAAUUGGAACAUCCGCCAACCGACUCCAUACUUGUUAGUGAUGCCGAGAAAAAUAUGGAAUUAGAGUCAACUAGUGUAACUGGAAAUAUGGUUCAGAUUGACUCUAGUCCGGGGGAAAAAAGGAUGUCAAAAUCCGGGAGGAAUUGCAAUUUGGAGGGUUGAUGUCAUAUUCCAAGCAUUUUUCAACAUUGGAAUUAUAUGAUAAUAUGGGAAUUGAACUACAUGAGUCAAUGAGGGAUUGCGAGGAGGAAAGACAAAUGACAUACAUCUUACAAUUUGAGGGAACAAGAAGGCAAAAUGACAUUCCUCAUAUGAAAGCCAAGAAAUGCAAGAUGAAGAAAUUAAAGUUUGGUUCGAUCAUCAACUUACCACCCCCCAUUGCUCGUGGUCACAAGUUUGAUUCCAAGUUAGGUGCCUAAUUCAUAUCGUCCAUGUGGCGAGAAAAGUGGUAAAGUUGAUCCGCGUCGUGCCACGACGUUAAAUGCGACACUUGGUGGGAGGCAACCUAACAUUUUUAAAUUUUUUAGUCAUUUUUAAUUUUUUUUUAGAAUAACUUAGUAUAUUAUUUUUGACUAAUCUGCCAAGUUUUAGAAUUUUUAGAGUUGUUUUGAGCAGGUUGCAUGAUCCGGACAGCCUAAAAGCAGUAGUUGAACAAAACUACAAAAAAUGCGGUGCUACGCGAUGGCGCAUGUGAAUCCGCAUUCGCACAACAUUAGGUUUUAGCUACCUCUAUGCGGUCACGUAGAAAGUCACACAAUCGCGGAAAUUUGGGAGCUGUUGCUCUCCGCGAUCGCUGUCACACCUCCUUUUUACACCCGAAGGGGUAUAUAAGGGAGUUUUUCCAAUUAAAUGACAUAAUUCGAAAUGAAAUUAUUUUAUUUAUUUCAGAGUUGCCACUUGAAAUAGUUUAUUUGGUGUCCCAAGUCACCGGUUUAUUGUAAAUCCCAAAUUGAGGAAAAUUUAACUCAGUUUAAAGUCUGCAAAACCAGAAGACCGGGUAAGGAAUUCUAUUAACCCAGGAGAAGGUGUUAGGCAUUCCCGGGUUCCGUGGUUCUAGCACGGUCGCUUAACUAUUAAUAAUUGACCUAAUUAUCUGAUUAAUUACAUAUUUUAAACCUAUUGUGUGUUUUUAACUUUAUAACCGCUUUUAAUAAUUUUUAAAACCGUUUUUAGGAUUUAUGGAUUUAUUUCUUGAACAAGUUACGAUUGCCGUACACUUCCCGUUUUGGAACACAUCGCAAACCACGCUACAUGAAAUGCACCCGCGAUUUGUGACAUGUUUAUUUUAUUAUUGUUCGAAGUUGUUAUGAUCGUGUCACAAGAAAUGCACACCCGAAUUUGGGAAUUAGGUAUCACGACUAUGCCAUAGGAACCGUACCCAUAGUCGUGAUGAUUUAAUUACGUGCCUAAAGUAAACUAUGGUGUUCAAAUUAUUUCCUAAACUAUUUUGAGAUUAUUGAGAGGCCAUAAGAGUAUGUAAGUCAUUGUGGAAGAAAUGAGGUAAAUUAAUUAUGGAAAUGUGGGCUAGUUUAUAGCCCUAUUGACGUUUGGGCUCAAUAAAAUUCAAUAAUACAAGCCCAAACUUUAACACUUUUGCCAUCCAAAAUUAUCAUGUGCACUCCUUAUCUAUUUGUGGUCCAAAUAUUUUCAUCCCCCCAAGCUCCAUCAGUCAGAAUGAAAAAUUAACAAACAAACACUAAAAUGCCUCAUCAAAAUGAAACCAUCAUGGUGACAAUUAGAAUAAAGGCAAAAAUAGGAAAUGUUUUCCACAUGAAUAAACAAAUAAGGAAAAAUAAACAAGACACUAAAAAAAAUAGGGAUCAAGUAUUCAUAAGCAAUGUACUGUAGUCACGUGCAAAUCAGAAAAGCGAGAUUAACCCGAGAAUUAAUAUAACAACUCAAAGACAUGCUCAAAUACAAAAGAACAGAUCCACACAAAAAUAAAUUUUAUCGAAGAACUAAAUCGAUUUGCUUCUGCUUCAACCAAUAUUUCUCGACAUUUGCAAGUUAAGCAGUUGGAUUAUACCACUUCACAAUAUCAGUAUUAACUUUAAAUCAUGAUAGAUCUCAAUAUUUGAGUCAUAAUUAAUCAACCAGAUUCGAACUAAGAAGACUAAGUCUCAUUAGCUAUACAUUCAUACACAUUGUAACGAUUUAUUCUAAUAUUGAAUCCAAACAAUUACAAGUAAGAAGCAGAGAGGUCUCAGAUUUGAAGACAAUUAUGUUGUUACAACUUACGGAUGACCUUCAUUAAAACCACAAACAUUACACGAAGAAGGGAAGUCAAGAGGAGUACCUGGAGCGCAAGUCUACAACUCCAAAAACCAGAUAAAAGGCAAAGAAAUCGGCUGGUUGAAGUCUAACGAAAUAGAUGCAAUGAUUAGUAGCAAAAUCAAACAACCAUUUUUAAGUUCAAAUCACUCCCUUAAAACCCAGAAUACACAAGAUAAUGAGCAAUUGAAACAACUUCAAAAUUUCCUUUGAAUCCUAGUCUUCUUAUGUUCAUUUUUCUUUUUAAUUUCUUAGAUUUUUUUUGUUUUUUUUUAUCUUCCUCUACGGCCAGUCAUGGUUGUUCUCCAUGGGGGGUGCCGAAUUUGGGCCUUUUCCGGCGAUGUAACGGCAGUGAAUGGAAGGAUAUGGAGAAGUAAAAGAGGCUGGCGGGUUCUCUUCGCUAGGGUUAGGUAUUUUGGGGGAGAGUUCAAUUUUUGGAGUCUUGGUCUGUAUCUGUUUUUUUUAGGUGUGUUGUAUAUGUGUAUUGGUGAGUGAAGAUGAGAGUGAUGAAGAAGAAGAAGCAGAGGAAACGGCGCUCAACUUUUCUGAAAGGGGAGGGGUCUUUUUUUUGAUUAGGUCUAGUUAGGUUUUUUCAAUUAAAGGGGAGGAGGGUCAGGUUGGGCUUGGUGAGUAUGGGCUGGGGUAGAUGGGUUUAAGAAUUUGGGCCACCUCUUUUGGCCCAAUUCCAUACAACCAAUUUCUUCCUUUUCCUUCUUUAUUAGAUUUUUGCAAACUCUAGCCAUUUAAAACUCAAACCUUAAUUAAAUCUAAUUUUUAUAUGGCUAACCUAUUUAUUUAUUUUUCCUAAUGAUGGAUUAAUGCAAAUAAUUAAUUAAUUAACCUAAGAAUGUAAUUUUUUACUUUUUAGUUAUUUAAAUGAUGCAUCUGACAAUAUAAUUAAUUCCUAAAUGCAAAUUAAACCUAUGAUAGCAUAAAUUUAAAAUGUGAUAAUUUUUUAUGAUUUUUCUUAUUAUUUUAAAAUAUUAUACAUGCAUGUAAUGCAACUAAAUAAAUAAAGACUCCUAAAAUCCAUUGAAAUUAUUUUUGGCCUAUUUUUAGGAGUUAUUUUCAUGUGGGGCAAAAAUUAGGUGCCCACAGCUGCCCCUCUUUGCUCGGAAGAGUUUUCGGGCAAAGAUACAGUGAGCAAAUACGAGCAAUUUUUUCCCGUUUGAAACUCCAUGGGAAGCAUUUUGAAAAAGUUUUACUGAACCUUGCUUCAGAGGUUGCCUACAUAUCUUUGGAUAUAAAGGAAUCAGGUCAGUGUAGUUCUGGAAGUUUUGGUUGCUGGGACUACCGAGUAACUGUGAUUUCACUGCUGUUGCUGCUGUUUCUGCUUGCUGAGCUCCUUAGUACACCAAAAUGAAAAAUGAAAAACUAGCUAACUAAGCCUAUCAGCUACGAGUUACAAGAUUCCUAUCUAUAAACCUUCUGAAGCUUGAUCUGGAGUCUUGGCUGGUUCUUCCUGCGGACUCUGAUCUGAAUCUUGAUGCUCGUUAGCUGUAACUACUGCUUCAUUUUUCUUCAGAUUUUCAGAUCAAGGUGGGACAUGCAAAGCUUGUGACUUCAAUCAUAUCUUGAGAAAUCCACAUCUUUUCUCUGUUUCUACACUAAGAGUUCACUUUUUUCUUAUUCUUCGUUUCUUUUAUUCUGGAUCGAGACUUAUUCUUUUGGUCGUCUCGAAACUUGUGCCUCAAGGUAAAAACCUGUUCAAGCACCAAAACAAACAAAUGAACGAAAUUUUCUGCCCCAGUUUUCACUAGGAAAAUUUCGUGAGUUAUUGUAAAAUUAAACUAUUUCUUUAUUGAAAGCAAUAAAAAUCAGGAUUGUGUAUCCUUGAGAAAAAGAGAUUAGGGAGUAGAGACCCUAUAUCUAAAAUAAAAUCAAUUGGGGAUUGGAGGCCCUAAGUUGGAAGGAUUACCAAGUUAUGCUGGCAUCAACUAAGGAAGGGAACCCUAUAUUGGAAAAGAUUACCAGAUUAUGCUGGCGUUAGCUAGGGAGUGGAACUCUGUGUUGGAAAAAAUUACCAGGUUAUACUGGCAUCAACUAAGAAUUGGAACCCUAUGUUGGAAAAGAUUAACAGGUUAUGUUAGCAAAGUCAUUGGGUUAUGCCGGGAAAGUCAUCGGGUUAUGCUGGAAAAGUCAUCGGGUUAUGCCGGGAAAGUCAUCGGGUUAUGCCGAAAAAGUCCUCGGGUUAUGCUGGGAAAGUCAUCGGGUUAUGCUGGGAAAGUCAUCGGGUUAUGCCGGAAAGGUCCUGGGGUUAUGCCGGGAAAGUCAUCGAGUUAUGCCAGAAAAGUCAUCGGGUUAUGCCGGGAAAGUCAUCGAGUUAUGCCGGAAAAGUCAUCGGGUUAUACCGGAAAAGUCCUCGAGUUAUGCCGGAAAAGUCCUCGGGUUAUGCCGGAAUUAACUAGGGAGUGAGACCGUAUGUUGGAAAUGAUUACCAUGUUAUGCUCGAAUCGACUAGGGAAUGGGUCCCUAUGUUGGAAAAGAUGUAGCUAGAGAUUGUAGACCCUAUGCUACCAUGAUUUGAAUUUUUCUUCUUCUUUUUUUCAUUCAUUUUUUAAAGAAAAUGAAUAAAAUGCAGGAAAGAAUUUGGAGGAGACUUCCCUUUUGGAUUGAUUAUUGCUGUAGAGCUGUUUCUAGCCCUUGUGCAGUUUCCUUUUGUUGCACCUACGUCUUGCAAAGUUGCUUUUGGAUGGCACCUGUUUCCUGUGUUUUUUUUCAAACAAAGAUCAAUUUGUCAGUUUGAAACGGUAAUUGGUUUUGUGGCCUUGAUUAUUUCAAUCACUUGAUCUCGGCUCGGCUUCUUUGAUGAAGAUCUCAAUUGCAACUGCUUGUUCCCUGAGGACCGAUUUUAUUUGUGGCCCUGAAGAACCUCUGGCUUUUGCAGACUUUGCCAUGAUGGUUGGUCACGUUUGACUUAAGCUUUCAACUUUAUUUUGCCUUUGUGGGCCUUUCCUUUAUGACUUGUUGUUUUAAUUUUCUUUAACUUUUGUCUCCUCAAACUUUGGCGCAAUGGCUAGUCGCGUGGGACUUAACCUUUUUCAACUUUGUUUCACCUUUGUAGGCCUUUCAUUUCUGGCUUCUUUCUUCCGACUUCAACUUCAGAGCAUUUGGGGUACCUUGGAUUUUCAAACCUUUGCCGAGAUGGUUAGCCACGUGGAACUCAACCUUUUCAACUUCACGUCGCCCUUAUAGGCACUUCAAUUUGAUUUCUUUCUUUUGAUAACUUUUAAUUUCAAAGCAUCGGCCGCCAUGGCCAGCGAGGUCGACUUGAUGCCACUGACGAGGCUAGGUGCCUUUUUGCACAUGAGCUUGCAUCAAACGAAAGACCUGUAAAUCAGUCUUGACAUCUCUUCUUUGUCUUAGUUUUGGAACAGAGUUAGAUCGAAUGAGAUUAAAAGAAAACAAAUAAGGGAAUGGAGAAUGGGUUUAAACAAGAUGUGUCCCUUUCGGGGAAAGGAAAGAAGGACUUAUCUGGAGUAUAUGCGGAAUUCAAUGAACAUGACAUGCGUUUUGGACUGGAUGCCUGAUCUGUGUAAACCGUCCGACUCUCAGAAAUUCAUCACAACUUUUGCCUCAAAAUCGAGAAACCUUGCCAGGACUCUGUCGAUGCCAAUGACUAUGAGGAUCUUCUUUUCGAUCAGUGGCGCCCUUUGCGGGUUUUCACUAGCUGACCACUCUCAUUUCUCUUAUCACCAUCGCCUUAUAGUGCUUUUUGCGAGUUUUCACUAACAAGACUCUCUCAUUUCUAGUUUCUCUGCUUUCCGUCGCCUCACGGUGCCUAUGUGGGUUUUCACCAAUAAGACUCUCUCAUUUUAUUUCUCUACUUACCAUCGUCUUACGGUGCCCUGUGGGUUUUCACCAAUAAGACUCUCUCAUUUUAUUUCUCUUAUUUUGUUGUAUUAGAUCCAAGUAACAAUAUCCUCCAAUUUUGAACAUCUUUUACCGAUUGAUCGGAAGGACAUGAACAAGAUUUGGGGUAAAAAGAAUUUGGAUUGAAUUACAACUUUGAAACCUUUCAGGCAAAACCAUUACCGAACCAUUAUAACUUCUGCCCCAGUUUUAACUUUUGGUGGAAUUUGGAUUUUUAUUUUGGUUUGACUGAACCCCAGAGAGAGUCUGUCUACAUAUUCUUUCAGAAUCAAGUCGAACGUAGUUCAGGGAACUUUGGUUUUUUUUCUUUCGUUUUUCUCUUUCUUUUCCUUUUUUCAUCAUUUUUUUCCAUUUUCAUUUCAUUUUCUUUUUUCCUUUUNNN